GGGAGAAUUUGUUCAUUAUCCGGCGUGGAAAGAGAAGUGGAGAAAAAAAAGGAAAAAAUUAAAGUAUGAAAUAGUAAUAGGUUUGUUUGGUGUAGUACCAUGUUUGUAAUGAUGGUGGGUGUUAACAUACAACAGGUUUGUAUAGUUCGUAAUGGUUUUGGACUGUCAUAACGGACGUCGACUAUUUUAUAAUGGCUAUGUGAUGUUUAAUGGCUCCGGUACUACUCAUAAGCUAGUG
rnacentral:lncRNA from 1 species